CUUGGUCAUUUAGAGGAAGUAAAAGUCGUAAACAAGGUUYCCGUARGUGGARCCUSCGGAAAGGAWCCMUUAUCGUMCAAYGGAGGUGCYCGGGGUUGUCGCUGACUUUUGAAACGGUCGUGCACGCCUCGGUACUCUCACAUACAAUCCAUCUCACCCCUCUUGUGCAUCACCGCGUGGAGGCCCCUUUUGGCUAGUUCUAAAGGGGGUUUUCGCGUUUUUAUACAUACACCGUUUUAAUGCAAUGCGUAGAAUGUCAUACUUUUGCGAUCACACGCAAUUAAUACAACUUUCAACAACGGAUCUCUUGGCUCUCGCAUCGAUGAAGAACGCAGCGAAAUGCGAUACGUAAUGUGAAUUGCAGAAUUCAGUGAAUCAUCGAAUCUUUGAACGCACCUUGCGCCCUUUGGUAUUCCGAAGGGCACACCCGUUUGAGUGUCGUGACAUCCUCAAACCUUCUUGGUUUCUUGACCAGGAAAGGCUUUGGACUCUGGAGGUUUUUGCUGGCCCUUACUUUUGKUGAAGCCAGCCUCCUCUAAAAAUGGAAUUAAGUGGGGAUCUGCUUUGCGGGAUACUUGGACGGKGAUAAAGAUAUUUCUACGUCYUUGGRUCUCG
rnacentral:rRNA from 1 species